GUAAAAUCCUAUAAUAAAAAAUAAAUGCAAAACACAAUCAUGAGCAAUUGGCCACAUGCAGGCUACGGCUAUUC
rnacentral:sRNA from 1 species